UACGGAGGAUCCAAGCGUUAUCCGGAUUCAUUGGGUUUAAAGGGUGCGUAGGCGGAAUGAUAAGUCAGUGGUGAAAUCUCUUCGCUUAACGAAGAAACUGCCAUUGAUACUGUCAAUCUUGAGUACAUUUGAUGUGGGCGGAAUGUGUCAUGUAGCGGUGAAAUGCUUAGAUAUGACACAGAACACCGAUUGCGAAGGCAGCUCACAAAACUGUAACUGACGCUGAGGCACGAAAGCGUGGGUAUCAAACAGG
rnacentral:rRNA from 1 species